rnacentral:rRNA from 1 species
GACGAACGCUGGCGGCGUGCUUAACACAUGCAAGUCGAACGGAAAGGCCCUGCUUUUGUGGGGUGCUCGAGUGGCGAACGGGUGAGUAACACGUGAGUAACCUGCCCUUGACUUUGGGAUAACUUCAGGAAACUGGGGCUAAUACCGGAUAGGAGCUCCUGCUGCAUGGUGGGGGUUGGAAAGUUUCGGCGGUUGGGGAUGGACUCGCGGCUUAUCAGCUUGUUGGUGGGGUAGUGGCUUACCAAGGCUUUGACGGGUAGCCGGCCUGAGAGGGUGACCGGCCACAUUGGGACUGAGAUACGGCCCAGACUGCUACGGGAGGCAGCGGUGGGGAAUAUUGCACAAUGGGCGGAAGGCUGAUGCAGCAACGCCGCGUGCGGGAUGACGGCCUUCGGGUUGUAGACCGCUUUCGCCUGUGACGAAGCGUGAGUGACGGUAAUGGGUAAAGAAGCACCGGCUAACUACGUG